rnacentral:rRNA from 1 species
AGCAGCCGCGGUAAUUCCAGCUCCAAUAGCGUAUAUUAAAGUUGCUGCAGUUAAAAAGCUCGUAGUUGAAUUUCGGGACCAUCAUGUUGGUCGUGCCUCGGUACGUACUGGCAUUGUUGGUUUCUCCCUUCUGACGAACCAUGAUGUCAUUUAUUUGGUGUUGUGGGAAAUCAGGACUGUUACUUUGAAAAAAUUAGAGUGUUUAAAGCAGGCUCACGCUUGAAUACAUUAGCAUGGAAUAAUGAAAUAGGACGUUUGAUUCUAUUUUGUUGGUUUCUAGGAUCGACGUAAUGAUUAAUAGGGAUAGUUGGGGGCAUUAGUAUUCAAUUGUCAGAGGUGAAAUUCUUGGAUUUAUUGAAGACUAACUACUGCGAAAGCAUUUGCCAAGGAUGUUUUCAUUAAUCAAGAACGAAAGUUAGGGGAUCGAAGACGAUCAGAUACCGUCGUAGUCUUAACCAUAAACUAUGCCGACCAGGGAUCGGAUGAUGUUAAUUUUUUAAUGACUCA